CCUAAGCAGACGCUUCAGACGCCUUAAAGCUUAAGGCGGACACCUUAUGUAGGUACCUAAGGCAAGGUGGACGCCUUGAGCUUGCAGGGCGCCCGGCGACGCCUUACGGACGCCUUAAAAACAAUGGCGGUAAUGACCAUGAGCCAGCCUAAAAAAGCUACCUCUUUGACGCUAUGGCAACGAAGGAUACAUUGAUGAUGAGCAGCUUUUCCUAGGUGGUUUAAUUACCAUGUCAGGACGGUUUGUUUAUACAGAUCCAUUCCUGUUAGUUCUAUAAUUUUCAGGUCUCUAUUUUGGUGCACGGUUCACUUUCUAGGAAUGGAAAGGAUGCAGGGAAAUGAAGUAUAGGCCCAGCGUUCGGAACAUGGGACAGAAAAGCCGCAGAGUAAAGCACAUGUUAAUGCUAUUUAUAUGGGGAAGUUUCUACGGCACCAUUUCCCCACUGCUCAUGUUCAAGUGAAAUGUAGACACUGUAAUUUUGUGGAACGGUCUGGCGAUACAAACCAUCUAGCAAAACCGUGGUUCAGAGUUGGAUGUGCUACUAUCAACUUUGCAGAAUGUUUUGACAGACUGUUGAAUGUCCUAGCUAGUUAAUGGCAAGAAUGCAUGCAGGUUUGGUUCUCGUGCCCAGAGAUAGAAGCUAUCUUGAGACUUGGAGACAACGACGUGUUUAAUCAUC